AACAUAUACACACACAUACAUAUAUAUGUAUGAAAGGUAUCCAUCUAUAAAAACUGUGCCAAAAGAGACACACAAGUCUGGUGCAGGCUACUGCCUGGCCAACUCCUGCCAAACCGUCCAAUCCAUGCCAGCAUGGAAA